CAAUAGCUCAGUUGGUAGAGCAUCUCAUUCGUAAUGAGAGGGUCGCAGGUUCGAGUCCUGUUUGUG
rnacentral:tRNA from 2 species